GCCCAGACUCCUACGGGAGGCAGCAGUGGGGAAUAUUGCACAGUGGGGGGAACCCUGAUGCAGCGACGCCGCGUGGGUGAAGGAGCACCUCGGUGCGUAAAGCCCUAUCGGCAGGGAAGAAACAGACGGUACCUGACUAAGAAGCCCCGGCUAACUACGUGCCAGCAGCCGCGGUAAUACGUAGGGGGCAAGCGUUAUCCGGAUUUACUGGGUGUAAAGGGAGCGCAGACGGCAGUGCAAGUCUGGAGUGAAAGCCCGUGGCUUAACCACGGGACUGCUCUGGAAACUGUGCAGCUAGAGUGCAGGAGAGGCAGGCGGAAUUCCUAGUGUAGCGGUGAAAUGCGUAGAUAUUAGGAGGAACACCAGUGGCGAAGGCGUCUUACUGGACCGAAACUGACGUUGAGGCUCGAAAGCGUGGGGAGCAAACAGGAUUAGAUACCCCUGUAGCG
rnacentral:rRNA from 1 species